rnacentral:lncRNA from 1 species
GGCAAAAAAGCAUUUGCUUCGAAAGCCCCAUCAAGAGGAAAAUCUUUCUACUGCCAGAGGGACUCUUCUGGGAAGCCUGAGUGGAGAGAGAGAAUGGGCAAGGGGUCAUCGAUGGACCGGAGAUGGGAUGGUAGGGACGGAAACUGCAGGGUCCGCAGAAGGAACUGCUCACCGAAAGCCAACAAGCUUGCCCUGUGGAAUCCCAGAAAGGCCCAGGAACUUCGGGACAUCACUGAAGGCAGAGUGAAGAGAGGUAAGUGCAAGUCCAGAUGAAUGAGUGAUGAUGUUC